UCCUCCCUCUUUCUUCGUGCUUAAUACAUGCAAGUCGAACGGAAAGGCCCUGCUUUUGUGGGGCGCUCGAGUGGCGCACGGGUGAGUAACACGUGAGUAACAUGCCCUUGUAUUUGGGAUAAAUUCAGGAAACAGGGGCUCAUACCGGAUAUGAUCUCUUGAUGCACGGUGGGGGAUGGAAAGAUUCGGCGGUUGGGGAUGGUCUCGCAGCUUAUCAGCUUGUUGGUGAGGUAGUGGCUUACAAAGGUUGUGAAGGGUAGGCGGCCUGGGAGGGUGACCGGCCACAUUGGUACUGCGGUACGGCCCAGACUCCUACGGGCGGCAGCAGUGGGGAGUAUUGCGCAAUGGCCGGAAGCCUGAUGCGACAACGCCGCGUGCGGGAUGACGUCCUUCGGGUUGUAAACCGCUUUCGCCUUUGACGAAGCGGGAGUGACGGUAAUUAGUAAAGAAGCACCGGCUAACUACGUG
rnacentral:rRNA from 1 species